AGAGUUUGAUCAUGGCUCAGGAUGAACGCUGGCGGCGUGCUUAACACAUGCAAGUCGAACGAACCUUCGGGUUAGUGGCGGACGGGUGAGUAACGCGUGAGAAUCUGCCCUCAGGAGGGGGAUAACAGUUGGAAACGACUGCUAAUACCCCAUAUGCCGAGAGGUAAAAUGAAUUUUGCCUGGGGAUGAGCUCGCGUCUGAUUAGCUUGUUGGUGGGGUAAAGGCCUACCAAGGCUUCGAUCAGUAGCUGGUCUGAGAGGACGAUCAGCCACACUGGGACUGAGACACGGCCCAGACUCCUACGGGAGGCAGCAGUGGGGAAUUUUCCGCAAUGGGCGCAAGCCUGACGGAGCAACGCCGCGUGAGGGAUGGAGGCCUUUGGGCUGUAAACCUCUUUUCUCAAGGAAGAAGAUCUGACGGUACUUGAGGAAUAAGCCACGGCUAAUUCCGUGCCAGCAGCCGCGGUAAUACGGGAGUGGCAAGCGUUAUCCGGAAUUAUUGGGCGUAAAGCGUCCGCAGGCGGCCGUUUAAGUCUGUUGUUAAAUCGUGGAGCUCAACUCCAUCACGGCAAUGGAAACUGUUCGGCUUGAGUAUGGUAGGGGCAGAGGGAAUUUCCGGUGUAGCGGUGAAAUGCGUAGAUAUCGGGAAGAACACCAGUGGCAAAAGCGCUCUGCUGGGCCAUUACUGACGCUCAUGGACGAAAGCCAGGGGAGCGAAAGGGAUUAGAUACCCCUGUA
rnacentral:rRNA from 1 species